rnacentral:lncRNA from 1 species
GAAAAAAACACACACACAGUGACUUCCCUUAAUUUACAAUAGUCUGCACUCAGUAAAACACGGAUGGCAGGGGUUUGCCAAAUGUGAAUUCCAUGUCAGCAGUGCAUUUUGGUAAAGCUUAAGUGGCUUUAUUUUGAAAGAAAAUACACAUUUAAAAGCUGUUUACCUAUGCAAGUGGGGGCGAGGGUAAGUAUGUGGGUGUGUGAGAAAGAACAUACCCUGGUACAAACAAACCCCAAAGUGAAGAUUUACACCUGCCAGCCAAGAGGGCUCUGUUCUCCCUCUUAAAAAGAAAAAGGAUCAAAUUCUUGAAAAGUGCAAAGGAAAGUGAGUGACCAGACAGAUUCUCUGAUGGAUCCGCAUUCUGAAAUCUGAACCCACAACUCUGAACCUGAACAUGGAAGUCAGCAGAUGUGGGGCCACCUCCAGAGCCGCCUCUACCAUCCUGAGCAAACCGCUCAACAUCACUGACCUCCGAUUUUUGGAUACAAUGUCCGUCUCCACGCACAUCCCUUGUCUAUUUUACCCAGGGGCUGUGAAAGUAAAAGACAGAAGAAGACAGCAAAUAAUGUUUAUCUAGAGCCUAAAAGGAACUGGGUGUUGUCCCCUCAUCUUGUUUCUUCCACAGAACCCUCAUAGGGCCAAGGGUUAACAUCGCUAGGGUGCAGAAGGGAAACCAAGGCAGCGAGUUCUCAGAUCCUAUGCACAGGGUCACCAAGCUAGGUAAUGAGAGCUUCAUGGAGAAAAUGCCAUCUGAGUUUGCAAAACAGAAGUGACUUUACUAUUUGGAAACUGCCUGUUUUGGUCCUUGCUUCUCAGCAGCUGCAGCAGUGGCCAUCACCUGGUGUGUGUUUAAAAUGAAGACUCCCAGACCCCAUCCUGGACCUGUGGAUUCAGAAGCUGGCAGUUUAGCAGGAUCCUGGGCUGAUUCUUUUGCACACUGAAGUUUGGGAAGCACUGGUUUAAGGGAUAUAUUCUGUUAAAGAAGGAACAAGAAAGAGCCGGAAGGGAAAAGAGCAAGGCAGCCAGGAUAUCCACCAUUCAAGAGGCAAUGGGGGCUGCAAACAAGCUGGGGCCUCAUUUUGUAACCACCCUCCCACCCCCAGGAGAUUCUGCCUCUUCUGCCUUGCCUGCCUCAGAACUCAAAGUAAAGCAAACUUUCCCCAGCAGUUCCCAGUGUGGCCCCCGGCCGGCAGCCUCUGCAUGUCCUGGGAGCCUGCUAGAGACGCAAAUCCUCCGCACCUUCCCAGGCCCUUGGAAUCAGAAGCUGGAGUUGGGGCUCAGCAGUAACAGGCUUGUGGGUGAUGCAGCAAUCCUAACAAAGCUCACUGUCACAAUGGCCCCUGUCCACAUAACAGGGUCAUUUGCAUUUUACUGCAGGUCCACACCUGGCUUGGACACCAGUUAGAAAAACAGCCUGCCUUUACACUCGCUGUACAAACCUCAUUUCUAAAGCGUAUUUUCAUCGAUGACUUCACUUAACCCUCAGAGUAGCCACAAGAAAGAGGAAGAUGGGCACCGCCAUUCCUAUUCUGCAGAGAUUGAUCUCCAGGAAAGAGCUCUCCUGGCGGGGUGCAGGAGGCUUGCUGUCCUUCAGAGGAGUUUCCAGUGAAGGACCCAGUGUUUGGAGAGAGGCGUAAAUGCGUGAGCAGCCAGGCCCUCCCGGAGGGAGUAGAGGAAAAAGGACUCCACCGCAGACCCUUUCGUUUCUGUGUCUGGAGGUGCCACGUGCUGACAACUGCCAUAGCUCCUGGCUUUUCUAACCCUGGUCCUGGAUUUAGAAAAGUCUUAGCACCAGCAGCCAUGUACAGAUUUGUUCCAUAACUUGCUCUUUCAUUCUGGGUGAGAACAACAUCCAGCUACCCCAACUGGUAACUGUCAUUUUGGACAAGUCGCUUCACCUCUCUGAGCUGCAGUUUCCUCAUCUAUUUUCUCUAUCUGAGAAAAUAACAAAGGACACUUUGUUAUGAUACAAGCAAGGGACUUCAGAUUGGUGAUGUCAUCCAGAGGAGACUAGAAACCAACAGAAUCCUCCGAAAACGCUGUGCCCACAAUCUUUGCCCUCUUUACAAAGUAACACAGAUACUCCUUGCCACCCAGAGCCGGGUGGUGAUAAAAUGAAGCUCUCUUUGUAAAGUGUCGAGCCCAUAGUGGGUGCUCCAUAAAUGUUCAUUUCCCCUCCCUGAAGCAUGGCUCUGCACUCCGAGCUGGAAAGAAAGACAAACGCACCCCAAUUCAGUGCGAAUCCAGGCAUGCACGCCCCAAGUGAGGCAGCCCUCGCUCACAUCCAUUUGCAUUUCCUUCUGCGAGUGCUCCAAUUUUAAAAGCUUAAUAUUUAUUUAGAUAUUUAUUUUCACUGUAAAUACAACACAUGUUUACAGAGAUAUUUAUUUUUCUCUAUAAACACAGUAAAUGUCUGGGGAAAAUAUAAUCCCAAACUCACAGGACUGGAAUGAUUUUCUUUAUGACAAUCAUUUUGUGUGUGUGUGUGUGUGUGUGUGUGUGUGUGUGUGUGUUUUAAUCUAUAUCAGUGCCUUAUGCCAUUGCGUUUUAACCCUAAUUUCGAGGGAGUAGGGGGUGGAUGGAAACCACUCCACAAAACAGCAACAAGAAAAGACCACAGGUGAAGGGGACCUGUGGUCCCCCUUCACUGAAAAUCACAGUGUAUCAACUCCUCUGAACGGUGGAAAGCAGAAAGGUGCAGUUCCCAAGGGUCAGCAUCAAGAUAAGACUUGCUGAACCUGACAUUGAUGCCUAAUGAGUAAUAAAAUGUCCCUUCAUGGGGUAGAGUUACUGGAUGAUAUCAUGAGACUUUAGCACCUUAAAGAGGUCUCAUAAAAUGUUAGCACCCUAAAGAGGUGACCAUGUUAUAUAAAUACAGGAUAAAAGAUACCAGCUCAGCAUGAGUAUCAGUCAAACCCACUCAUUGUACAGAAAGGGAAACUGAGUCUCUAAGAGAUCUUCAGGCCUGAGAUCAGACAUGUUAACGGCAAGGCCUAAAUGGGUAUUUUUUUCCAGAAUAGAGUGGUAAAGAUGUGAGUAUCUAAGAAAAUUACACAAAGUGUCCUUUGUUAUGACACAGGUAAGGGAUUUCAGGUUGGUGAUGUCAUCCAGAGGAGACUAGAAACCCAACAGAAUCAAUCCCCUGGCCUCCAAAAACCCUGUGCCUACAAUCUUUGCCCUCCUUACAAAGUAACACAUUUACUCCUCAACUUACCAUGCCCCAGUAAACCCACAGUAAAGUCGAGCCAUUGUAAGUGGAGAACUGUCUCUACUGUGAUCACCUUUAUUGCUUCAAAAUUUAUUUUUAGCCUUUAGUAGGAAAGCGGUAGUGUUCAGGCUCUUGAGCAAAACUGAGAGACGAUUCUCUGAAUCUCUGACAACUCUGGGCAGAGCCAGGGAGCAGGGGCCCAUGCUGUUUCAGAGGUUUAGGACUCAAAGGAUGGAAUCCUCGUUCCCCUAACAGGAAGUCAACACGGGGAGUUUGCUACUUCUGAGGCUGACCCGGACAAGACCAGGAGCUGUGGCCACAUUUGUGAUGGAGAGGGCGUGGCGGCUGGAGCGUGUCAGUGGGGGUGGUGCUGGGGAGAGGCAUGUGCCCGCAGGCAGCCCCAUGGGGAACAGUGCAGGAAUCUCUUCCCCCAGCCCCUCUCCCUCACACAGGCCACCUGGGACAGAGGUGGACACGUUCCUCCCCUGCCCCUAGGCAAGCACUGGCCUCAACUUCAACUUGUUAAUUUCUAUUUCAUGAUCCCCUUUUUUUCUUUCCCCUGAUCUCCGCCACUUUUUGUUCAGCCCUGUUACACACUAUGCAUUUUUGGAGGCUGCCUGUAGAACUACAUAGGGUAAAAAUGAAUAAACGAGCUUCUCAAGAGUUAACUCUUGGUGACUCUUGAGGGAUUAACGCCCAAGCUGGGGAUUCCUUGAGAAAAAGGGCCAAGGCCUCCGAAGAAGGCUG